AUUGAACGCUGGCGGCAGGCUUAACACAUGCAAGUCGAGCGGAGAUGAGGUGCUUGCACCUUAUCUUAGCGGCGGACGGGUGAGUAAUGCUUAGGAAUCUGCCUAUUAGUGGGGGACAACAUUCCGAAAGGAAUGCUAAUACCGCAUACGUCCUACGGGAGAAAGCAGGGGAUCUUCGGACCUUGCGCUAAUAGAUGAGCCUAGAUCGGAUUAGCUAGUUGGUGGGGUAAAGGCCUACCAAGGCGACGAUCUGUAGCGGGUCUGAGAGGAUGAUCCGCCACACUGGGACUGGGACACGGCCCAGACUACUACGGGAGGCAGAAGUGGAGAAUAUUGGACAAUGGGGGGAACCCUGAUUCAGCCAUGCCGCGUGUGUGAAGAAGGCCUUAUGGUUGUAAAGUACUUUAAGCGAGGAGGAGGCUACUGAGACUAAUACUCUUGGAUAGUGGACGUUACUCGCAGAAUAAGCACCGGCUAACUCUGUGCCAGCAGCCGCCGUAAUAC
rnacentral:rRNA from 1 species